CAGCCGCCGCGGUAAUACCGAGGGUGCGAGCGUUAAUCGGAUUUACUGGGCGUAAAGCGUGCGUAGGCGGCUUCUUAAGUCGGAUGUGAAAUCCCUGAGCUUAACUUAGGAAUUGCAUUCGAUACUGGGUAGCUAGAGUAUGGGAGAGGAUGGUAGAAUUCCAGGUGUAGCGGUGAAAUGCGUAGAGAUCUGGAGGAAUACCGAUGGCGAAGGCAGCCAUCUGGCCUAAUACUGACGCUGAGGUACGAAAGCAUGGGGAGCAAACAGGAUUAGAUACCCCUGUAGUCCCUGUCUCUUAUAC
rnacentral:rRNA from 1 species